rnacentral:rRNA from 1 species
CGGACGGGUGAGUAAUGUCUGGGAAACUGCCCGAUGGAGGGGGAUAACUACUGGAAACGGUAGCUAAUACCGCAUAACGUCGCAAGACCAAAGAGGGGGACCUUAGGGCCUCUUGCCAUCGGAUGUGCCCAGAUGGGAUUAGCUAGUAGGUGGGGUAACGGCUCACCUAGGCGACGAUCCCUAGCUGGUCUGAGAGGAUGACCAGCCACACUGGAACUGACACACGGUCCAG